GUGGGGAAUAUUGGGCAAUGGGCGCAAGCCUGACCCAGCAACGCCGCGUGAGGGAAGAAGGCUUUCGGGUUGUAAACCUCUGUCCUUGGUGACGAAAAAAAUGACGGUAGCCAAGGAGGAAGCCCCGGCUAACUACGUGCCAGCAGCCGCGGUAAUACGUAGGGGGCGAGCGUUGUCCGGAAUGACUGGGCGUAAAGGGCGCGUAGACGGCUGUCUAAGUCUGGAGUGAAAGUCCUGCUUUCAAGGUGGGAAUUGCUUUGGAGACUGGAUGGCUUGAGUGCGGAAGAGGUAAGUGGAAUUCCCAGUGUAGCGGUGAAAUGCGUAGAGAUUGGGAGGAACACCAGUGGCGAAGGCGACUUACUGGGCCGUAACUGACGUUGAUGCGCGAAAGCGUGGGGAGCGAACAGGAUUAGAAACCCCUGUAGUCC
rnacentral:rRNA from 1 species